ACUUCUUCAUAGUCAGGUCACACCCUGUGCUGGAGUCAGCCUCAGACAGGUCCCAGCAGACAUGAGGGUCCCCACUCAGCUCCUGGGGUUGCUUCUGCUCUGGCUUACAGGUGGCAGGUGUGACAUCCAGAUGACCCAGUCUCCAGCCACCCUGUCAGCAUCUCUGGGAGACAGUGUCACCAUGACAUGCCUGGCAAGUCAGAGCAUUGGUGCUUGGUUAGCAUGGUAUCAGCAGAAGCCUGGGAAUCCUCCUAGGCUCCUGAUCUAUAGCACAAGCACCUUGGCAGAUGGGGUCCCAUCGAGGUUCAGUGGCAGUGGAUCUGGCACACAGUUUUCUCUCAAGAUCAAUGGCCUGCAGCAUGAAGAUAUGGCAACUUAUUACUGUCAGCAAGCUAACAGUUUCCCUCCCACAGUGAUUCACACCAUGACAUAA